CCUACGGGAGGCAGCAGUGGGGAAUAUUGGACAAUGGGCGGAAGCCUGAUCCAGCAACGCCGCGUGAGGGAUGACGGCCUUCGGGUUGUAAACCUCUUUCGGUAGGGACGAAGCGCAAGUGACGGUACCUACUAAAGAAGCACCGGCCAACUACGUGCCAGCAGCCGCGGUAAUACGUAGGGUGCGAGCGUUGUCCGGAAUUAUUGGGCGUAAAGGGCUCGUAGGCGGUUUGUCGCGUCGGGAGUGAAAACCCAGGUGCUUAACACCUGGCUUGCUUUCGAUACGGGCAGACUAGAGGUAUGCAGGGGAGAACGGAAUUCCUGGUGUAGCGGUGAAAUGCGCAGAUAUCAGGAGGAACACCGGUUGGCGAAGGCGGUUCUCUGGGCAUGACCUGACGCUGAGGAGCGAAAGUGUGGGGAGCGAACAGGAUUAGAUACCCUGGUAGUCCACNCCGUAAACGUUGGGCGCUAGGUNUGGGGUCCAUCACGAUCGUCGCGCNGCUACGCAUAGCGCCCGCCGUCGGGUAGGUACGGCCGCGACGGACGUAAACCGUACAACUAGAAGUUAGACGGCGUGAGACGUCGCCGACGGACGACGACGAGGGAGUAGG
rnacentral:rRNA from 1 species